rnacentral:rRNA from 1 species
GAUGAACGCUGGCGGCGUGCCUAAUACAUGCAAGUCGAGCGAACAGAUGAGGAGCUUGCUCCUCUGACGUUAGCGGCGGACGGGUGAGUAACACGUGGAUAACCUACCUAUAAGACUGGGAUAACUUCGGGAAACCGGAGCUAAUACCGGAUAAUAUAUUGAACCGCAUGGUUCAAUAGUGAAAGACGGUUUUGCUGUCACUUAUAGAUGGAUCCGCGCCGCAUUAGCUAGUUGGUAAGGUAACGGCUUACCAAGGCGACGAUGCGUAACCGACCUGAGAGGGAGAGCAGCGAGAGUGGAAGAGAGGCACGCACGAAACAACAGCGGGAGGGAACAGCAGGGAAGCUGCCGGGAGGGGCAAAGGCUGAAAAAAGAAAGAGGGGGGGAAGGAAAAAGGUUUAAGGAACAUAGACGCUUGUUAAUGGGAAAGAAGAAAAGUGACAGGAAAUAUGAGGGUCAUGACGGGACCGAAAGAGAAAGCACCGGCUAACUCCGUG